GUGUCAGCAGCCGCGGUAAAACGUAGGAGACAAACGUUAUCCGGAGUUACUGGGCGUAAAGGGCGUGCAGGUGGUCAUUUAAGUUCGGCGUGAAAGCUCCUGGCUAAACCGGGAGAGGUCGUCGGAGACUGGAUGGCUAGAGGGUGAUAGAGGCGGGUGGAAUUCCGGGUGUAGUGGUGAAAUGCGUAGAGAUCCGGAGGAACACCAGUGGCGAAGGCGACCCGCUGGGUCACACCUGACACUGAGACGCGACAGCAUGGGGAGCGAACGGGAUUAGAAACCCUUGUAGUCC
rnacentral:rRNA from 1 species